UACAGUUUAGACAGUUUCACAGAGAUACUGCCGUUUAUAUCUACUGCAAGAGAGACACUCACAACAAUCAUGUUCCUCUUCUUUGUUUUCAUAGCUGUUAAAAACAUUGCAGGUGCUGUUGACAGCAGCAUUACACCAGACCAACCCGUCAUAUCUUCAAGUGAAGGCAGCAGCACCACACUGACCUGCACAUAUGAUCAAUCAGCUGACUAUCUCUACUGGUAUCGACAAAACCCUCAAUCAGGACCAGAGUUUCUGCUGAGGAUUACAGUAUUUACAGGUGAUGUCACUAAAGCUGAACAACUUGACCCAAGACUAUCCAUCAGACUCCGUAAAAAUGAGAGGAAAGUAGAUCUGGAGAUCUUUCCUGCUGCAGUAUCAGACUCUGCACUGUACUACUGCGCCAUGGAGCCCACAGUGACACAAAACUCAAACACACUGUACAAAAAGUGAAGCUGGAUUUUCUCUCAGGAGGGGGAGCUGUUUACCUGCUUCAUUCAAAGAAAGCAAGAGAAAG